rnacentral:lncRNA from 1 species
AGCAUCCCUGUGUCACUCAGGCACUGGGAAACCUGCCCAGCAAAUACAGAGCCAUGCCAAAUGAUAUCAUCCAUCCAAGUUAGCACAGGACUCAUAGCUGACCUGUUUCACCGAUGAUCAAGGUUCCCACGGGGUCUCUCACCACAGGACCUUGCUAGGCUGGUAGAUAACGAAUGGCAAUGUGACUUGUUAAGAUGCCCACGCCUGUUAGUUCUCCUGUAGCUUCAGCGGCCUGGAUUUGAACCUUAUAGAACAGUUGUUCCCUUGUCUCAGGUGGUUUAUAGAUGAGCAGAAAGCUGGACCUUUCUGAAAGGUGCUCAAUUAGGAGGGGUUAUAAUCUCCACGCCCAGUUCUCUGUAGUAAGGUGGAUGAUGAGAGGGUUUCAAUGCCCACCAUCCGGUGAGACAUCAUGAGACAGAAAAAUUUUUAAUGAAGCCACUUUCCUUAAGGAAAAGAAAAAAGAAAACAAACAAACAAAUAAAAGC